CAGAGAACACUCACGUGGCCGCUCCAACGCUCCUCCCUCCUCUGACAAAUACGGCCUAUUUUCUGUAUUUUCUGUAGGAGCCUCACUGAGGGAAGAUCAGUGUAAACAGCGCACCUGGGGAACAUGUGACACGAACGCACCCGUGAAACCGACACCACAGUCCCCGUUGUGAGUGCAUCUCUUCCCCGGGGCAGCCGAAUCCGUGCCCGGUCACCACAGGUUACUCUGGAUCUCCUACUUUGAUGUACACGGGAUCGCACACGGUGCGAACUCCUGUUGUCAGGCUUCUUCCACUCGGCGCCGUGAGUCAUUCCCGCUGUGAGUCACUGAUAGUUCACGCACCUUUCCUGCCGCGUGGCACUCCUCGUGUGGCUCUACCACCGUGGCGUUUUCCAUUUACCUGCUCAUGGACAAGUGUGCUGUUUCCAGGGUGUGGUGUUCCCAACAGAGCUGCUGCACAUCGUCUGCGGGGACGCCUGUGCAGGUGUCUGCAGGGACGUGUACAUUUUGUUCCCGGGGACAAAUGCCUAGGAAUGGCAUGGCUGGAUCACACGAUCAGGCACUUAAAAAUGAGAAAUCUCAGCAACAGGCAACCCAGUUCAUUAAAAUUCACUGGAUCUGGUUUCCCAAGAAAAUUCAAACAGUGUAGGAGGAAACGGCAUUCAGCACCUGCCGCCAGAGUCGGUAAGACCCAUAAUGACUAAAACGUUUCUGAUGUGCCAGUGCCGGAUUCAGAGAUGCAGGAGUUGGAGAAUCUCAUCCAAGGGCUCGUCCCAAGAUCGCUCGCACAGGACAAAAGAAAUCCUGUACUUUCAACAGCAACGCCAGAGAAGAAUGGUCGCAUUAUCUAGAAUCAAUCAGCUCAUCUCCCCCGUUGGGAGCCUACAGUAAGCGUUCGUUCAUUCCAUCACCCUCUGACCCAAGAGCAGAGUGGGCGAAAGCCUGGGUGCUGUCCUUGGUAACUCACGGGGGGGAAGUGGGGGACUUACUGCCAGCCUCCAUGAAAGCUUCAGGAAGAUACGUGAAGCCACUUUCUUGUUCCAGGGGGUUCCCGCAGCUGGCAUGCUCCCCAGGGCGCUGCAGGUUGAUGAUUGUUUUUAUGCCAUGGCUUACCGGAGAAAAGAAAGAAGUUACCAUAUUGAGAGCUAGAGUUUUAAAAAAAUCAACCAUCUUUUGGCAUUAAUAAACAUUACUAAUAACUCUCAAAACCUUAACUUCCUAGUUGAAAGAAGCCCUUCACUGCCUACUCUUUGACUAUUUGAAGUCAAAAGUGACAGACAAGAAGACGCGAGCUGGCUUAUCGAAGUGUGUCAGCGUGUAGCAUUUACCUUCGGAACUGCUCGAUGAUGCAGUACUUCUCGAGGAGCUCAGUGGACGGGCGAGCCAUGGCCAAGAUGUUGUCAGUGACCCUGAGGUGGGAGGACGGGGCUGGUGAGAUGCACAAAACCUGGAACGUUCUAGCUCUAAGUACUGAGAGAACGAGUUAUCAAGUCCCUGUUUUUUCUACGAUUUCAACAGUUGUAGAACAAUUUUCUUAUACAGCUCUGGCUUCAAUUUUGCAUCACAAUUAGGGCUCUAAGAGACCCUGGAAGCCUGGAAAAAAUUCCAGGACGUAAAGUAUUUGUGGACUGCAGCAGAGUGUUUUCAAGGACUCUCAUGAGAUUCUAGCAGACGUGACAGAGCCACCUCAUCGGGCAUCAAAGGCAAUUCUGCCCCCCCAGUCACCCGUUGUGUGAGGCAGGGAUAACACCUGCCUCGUGGGGUUGGCACGACAAUUCGACAAGGUGUGGGUGUAAAGUCUUUAGCACAAAUCCUGGCGAGUGGUUAUGAAUAAAUGCCGACUUAUUGUGA